rnacentral:lncRNA from 1 species
GAAUAUUUGCUGAAAAGAUAUAACCAGAGCCAAAAUGUCGACCUACAGGCUAGACGGGGAGCACCCUCUCUUCUAAACUGCCACAGUCCCUGGGAAAAGAGCAUUCCUACUUCAAGUGGCUGCAUGGAUCUUCUCACCACCAAGCUUACUUCUGGAUUUCGUAGAGCCCCAAGAUCCAGGACUCCUCUCCCAGGCCAUUUAUCCUGUCCUGAAAUGAGAAGUGAUGCACUAAGAAGAGUGAGAGGCUGGAUUUCAGAUGAGAUGACCUGGGGACAAAGUAUAGUUCUACUCCUGACUCCCUGCGUGACUUCAAGAUCCCAGGAUUCAGCAUCAAAGACCUUAGGCACUAAUAUCCUACCUGGAAGAUGGGACUCUUCAGUGCAUUACUGAACUCCUGCUAAGAACACUCACUUAGGAACUGAUGAAACCUUUGGAUAAAUGAAUUGCUUCCUGUUAAUGGUUCUGAUUUUAUAAAAGCAAGAUUUGUAUGUUUGCAGUCCAUUGAUUUGUUUAUUC